rnacentral:rRNA from 1 species
AUUGAACGCUGGCGGCAGGCUUAACACAUGCAAGUCGAGCGAGCGGCGGACGGGUGAGUAAUGUCUGGGAAACUGCCUGAUGGAGGGGGAUAACUACUGGAAACGGUAGCUAAUACCGCAUACCAUCAGAUGUGCCCAGAUGGGAUUAGCUAGUAGGAGGGGUAAUGGCUCACCUGGGCGACGACCCCUAGCUGGUCUGAGAGGAGGACCACCCACUCUGGAACUGAGACACGGUCAAGACUCCUACGGGAGGCAGGAGUGGGGAAUAUUGCAAAAGGGGCGAAAGCCUGAUGCAGCCAUGCCGCGUGUGUGAAGAAGGCCUUCGGGUUGUAAAGCACUUGCAGCGAGGAGGCGUUACUCGCAGAAGAAGCACCGGCUAACUCCGUGCCAGCAGCCGCGUAAUAC